rnacentral:rRNA from 1 species
CAGCCGCCACGGUAAUACGUAGGUGGCAAGCGUUGUCCGGAAUUAUUGGGCGUAAAGGGCUCGCAGGCGGUUUCUUAAGUCUGAUGUGAAAGCCCCCGGCUCAACCGGGUAGGGUCAUUGGAAACUGGGAAACUUGAGUGCAGAAGAGGAGAGUGGAAUUCCACGUGUAGCGGUGAAAUGCGUAGAGAUGUGGAGGAACACCAGUGGCGAAGGCGACUCUCUGGUCUGUAACUGACGCUGAGGAGCGAAAGCGUGGGGAGCGAACAGGAUUAGAUACCCGCGUAGUCCCUGUCUCUUAUAC